GACGAACGCUGGCGGCGUGCUUAACACAUGCAAGUCGAACGGUGAAGCGCUUGCCUUUUUGGUGGGUGUGGAUGAGUGGCGAACGGGUGAGUAACACGUGAGUAACCUGCCCUCUUCUUCUGGAUAACCUCAUGAAAGUGGGGCUAAUACGGGGUAUUCCGGGUCUGUCGCAUGGCGGGUUUGGGAAAGAUUGCGCCUUUGGGUGUUUUCGGUGGGGGAUGGGCUCGCGGCCUAUCAGCUUGUUGGUGGGGUGAUGGCCUACCAAGGCGGUGACGGGUAGCCGGCCUGAGAGGGUGGACGGCCACACUGGGACUGAGACACGGCCCAGACUCCUGCGGGAGGCAGCAGUGGGGAAUAUUGCACAAUGGGCGCAAGCCUGAUGCAGCGACGCCGCGUGAGGGAUGGAGGCCGUCGGGUUGUGAACCUCUUUCGCCAGUGAAGAAGGCCUGCUCCUGUGUGGGUGGGUUGACGGUAGCUGGAUAAGAAGCGCCGGCUAACUACGUG
rnacentral:rRNA from 1 species